GAUGAAGAACGCAGCGAAAUGCGAUAAGUAAUGUGAAUUGCAGAGUUCAGUGAAUCAUCGAAUCUUUGAACGCACAUUGCGCCCCCUGGUAUUCCGGGGGGCAUGCCUGUCCGAGCGUCAUUACAACCCUCAAGCUCAGCUUGGUGUUGGGCCCCGCCGCCCCGGCGGGCCCUAAAGUCAGUGGCGGUGCCGUCCGGCUCCGAGCGUAGUAAUUCUUCUCGCUCUGGAGGUCCGGUCGUGUGCUUGCCAGCAACCCCCAAUUUUUUUCAGGUUGACCUCGGAUCAGGUAGGGAUACCCGCUGAACUUAAGCAUAUCAAUAAGCGGAGGA
rnacentral:misc_RNA from 1 species